CAGCAGCCGCGGUAAUACGAAGGGGGCUAGCGUUGUUCGGAUUUACUGGGCGUAAAGCGCACGUAGGCGGACUUUUAAGUCAGGGGUGAAAUCCCGGGGCUCAACCCCGGAACUGCCUUUGAUACUGGGAGUCUUGCGUUCGAGAGAGGUGAGUGGAAUUGCGAGUGUAGAGGUGAAAUUCGUAGAUAUUCGCAGGAACACCAGUGGCGAAGGCGGCUCACUGGCUCGAUACUGACGCUGAGGUGCGAAAGCGUGGGGAGCAAACAGGAUUAGAUACCCCCGUAGUCCCUGUCUCUUAUAC
rnacentral:rRNA from 1 species